UGGGGAAUUUUGGACAAUGGGCGAAAGCCUGAUCCAGCAAUGCCGCGUGUAUGAAGAAGGCCUUCGGGUUGUAAAGCACUUUUGUCCGGAAAGAAAUCCUUGGCUCUAAUACAGUCGGGGGAUGACGGUACCGGAAGAAUAAGCACCGGCUAACUACGUGCCAGCAGCCGCGGUAAUACGUAGGGUGCAAGCGUUAAUCGGAAUUACUGGGCGUAAAGCGUGCGCAGGCGGUUUGCUAAGACCGAUGUGAAAUCCCCGGGCUCAACCUGGGAACUGCAUUGGUGACUGGCAGGCUAGAGUAUGGCAGAGGGGGGUAGAAUUCCACGUGUAGCAGUGAAAUGCGUAGAGAUGUGGAGGAAUACCGAUGGCGAAGGCAGCCCCCUGGGCCAAUACUGACGCUCAUGCACGAAAGCGUGGGGAGCAAACAGGAUUAGAUACCCUGGUAGUCCACGCCCUAAACGAUGUC
rnacentral:rRNA from 1 species